GACGAACGCUGGCGGCGUGCUUAACACAUGCAAGUCGAACGAAGCUUGCUUACGGAUUCUUCGGAUGAGGUAUGCUAUGACUGAGUGGCGGACGGGUGAGUAACGCGUGAGUAUCCUGCCCUUCAGAGGGGGAUAGCGUUUGGAAACGAACGGUAAUACCGCAUAAUGUAUUUUGUCCGCAUGAUCGAAAUACCAAAGAUUUAUCGCGGAAGGAUGGACUCGCGUCUGGUUAGGUAGUUGGUGGGGUAACGGCCUACCAGGCCGACGAUCAGUGGCCGGACUGGGAGGCUGGCCGGCCACAGUGGGACUGAGGCACGGCCCAGACUCGUGCGGGAGGAAGCAGGGGGGUAGAAUGAUCAAUGGGAGCAAACCGCAGGCAGCAACGCCGCGGGAAGGAAGACGGUGUUCGGAUUGCAAACUUCGGUUCUGAGGGAAGAAUAAUGACGGUAGCUAAUGAGCAAGCCACGGCUAACUACGUG
rnacentral:rRNA from 1 species